rnacentral:rRNA from 1 species
UGGGGAAUUUUGGACAAUGGGCGAAAGCCUGAUCCAGCAAUGCCGCGUGUGUGAAGAAGGCCUUCGGGUUGUAAAGCACUUUUGUCCGGAAAGAAAUCCUUGGCUCUAAUACAGUCGGGGGAUGACGGUACCGGAAGAAUAAGCACCGGCUAACUACGUGCCAGCAGCCGCGGUAAUACGUAGGGUGCAAGCGUUAAUCGGAAUUACUGGGCGUAAAGCGUGCGCAGGCGGUUUGCUAAGACCGAUGUGAAAUCCCCGGGCUCAACCUGGGAACUGGCAUUGGUGACUGGCAGGCUAGAGUAUGGCAGAGGGGGGUAGAAUUCCACGUGUAGCAGUGAAAUGCGUAGAGAUGUGGAGGAAUACCGAUGGCGAAGGCAGCCCCCUGGGCCAAUACUGACGCUCAUGCACGAAAGCGUGGGGAGCAAACAGGAUUAGAUACCCCUGGUAGUCCACGCCCUAAACGAUGUCAACUAGUUGUUGGGGAUUCAUUUCCUUAGUAACGUAGCUAACGCGUGAAGUUGACCGCCUGGGGAGUACGGUCGCAAGAUUAAAACUUAAAUGAAUUG